CGGGACGUGGCGCAGCUUGGUAGCGCACCUGACUGGGGGUCAGGGGGUCGUGGGUUCGAAUCCCGCCGUCCCGACCG
rnacentral:tRNA from 1 species